rnacentral:misc_RNA from 1 species
GAAAUGCGAUAAGUAAUGUGAAUUGCAGAAUUCAGUGAAUCAUCGAAUCUUUGAACGCACAUUGCGCCCUCUGGUAUUCCGGGGGGCAUGCCUGUCCGAGCGUCAUUACUGCCCUCAAGCGCGGCUUGUGUGUUGGGCGCCGUCCCCCCUGGGGGACGGGCCCGAAAGGCAGUGGCGGCGCCGUGCCCGGUCCUCGAGCGUAUGGGGCUCUGUCACCCGCUCUGGAGGCCCGGCCGGCGGCCGCCGAUCCAACCCCAACCUUUAACCGGUUGACCUCGGAUCAGACAGGGAUACCCGCUGAACUUAA